UUCGUUCCAUUUAGUUCACUUACUCAGCCACAUCCAUAAAAUCACCUUGGCUACAAUUGCAUGCCCUUAUAUAUCUAUAUACUUGUUUGUGCCUACGCCCAUAUAUUGGAGAACAAACACGAUGUGGGAGCAAAUGUUAGACGUAUGCGUGCUGCCUGUAUAUAUGCGUUUAGCCACAGCGGCGAAGACUGAAAUGCUAAAAUUAAUAUUUUUAAGAGGGCCAACAAUACUGCCAAUAUAUAUGAGGUGAGGCCUCUGCUAGUCUGUUCGCGCCUCCUUGGCUCCGCCCAUGUCUAGCCGACAGCUACAAUUUGUAGGGUGAUGAGAGAAUGAGACGUAUCAGGAGAUAACGAGGGACUAAUCAAGUCAUCUGGUGUGCAUGUGGUUUGGUUCAAGCUUGUUGACUUUUUUACUGGGAGACGAUAUCUACACAAACCACAUGACCAUGUUUUGUUUCGAUACAGAUAUAAAAUCAUCCGUCACCUAUAGGCUCUUGUGUCCCAGUACGCAGCCAGUCGGCGCACUGGGCCAUUUGCAUACAGAAGUCUCGACGAGUAGUAGCGGAUAAUCUGAGGAAGGGUGGGAACUAUCCUUAAACCAAGACAUCUUUGCUUCAAGUCUACUGUGAAUAUUUUAUCAGUUAUGGACUGAUCAAAAACACUCGAUAAACAUGACUUACAUAAAUGAAUUAACAGCGCACUGAGAAGUAGGGGCAUUUAGAAAAGGGGCAGGCCAAAGGAU
rnacentral:lncRNA from 1 species